UUCCUCUUGUUUGUGCUGUAAUGCCUUCUUAUCAAAAUUGAUAUGACACACUUAGAGAUGUGAUUUUGGUGUGUAACUUUUCAGAACAGAGAUACCAUUUCUAUAUAUGCUUUUGUAGUAGUAGAAUUAGAAUAAGUAAAGUUGGAAAAUGAAAAAUGAUCACAAAAUAACUUUGUCUUUACAUAAGCAAUAGUUUUUAAGUAGAUGAUCAUAAUUUUUCAAUGAGUUUUCUCAAAAAGGUUGUGUCACACACUCCUUUCGUGAAAGGAACAUGGUCAGAAAUAAGCAACAAACAGCACAAUUCCUCAUCACUCAGUGAAAGUUAAAAAGGUAUAAAAGAUAUAGAUGCUAGUGGAUUUUCCCAAUAAUUGUGAGUUUUCUUCUGGAAAAUUCAAAGAGAGUGGCUUAACAACAGUAGUAGUGGGCAACCUUAUUAUAAGGGAAAGCUUCACAUUACACCUUCAUUCUGCAAAAGUAACCCAGGUAGGGAUGCAUAAUCAUGUCAUUUUUGGCUAGAACUCUAGAACAACAAAAGCAGAUGUGAAUGGGACAUUUUUUGAUGGGGUUUCUAUAAAUUCUUAACCAAUAAAAGUAAAUCCUUUCUUUGAGACUUAAUACUUUGAUUUCUAAUGGAUUUAUGAACAAUUAUUUUAUAUUGCUUUUCUUUCUAGUUGAUGGUUCUUGAUAGUAUUUAAUAAUAAAGUUGGGGGUUUUAUUGUCAAAAAGAGAGGCUAUUGUAAUAAUAUUUUUUUCUCAAAGAAAAAACAGCAGAUUUGCCCAGGUAGACUGAACAAUCUAUUGUCCUAAAGCACAUAUUAUUAUGAAUAAACUCAGGAAACCAUUUGUAUG
rnacentral:lncRNA from 1 species